rnacentral:rRNA from 1 species
GAUGAACGCUGGCGGCGUGCCUAAUACAUGCAAGUCGAGCGAACAGACGAGGAGCUUGCUCCUCUGACGUUAGCGGCGGACGGGUGAGUAACACGUGGAUAACCUACCUAUAAGACUGGGAUAACUUCGGGAAACCGGAGCUAAUACCGGAUAAUAUAUUGAACCGCAUGGUUCAAUAGUGAAAGACGGUUUUGCUGUCACUUAUAGAUGGAUCCGCGCCGCAUUAGCUAGUUGGUAAGGUAACGGCUUACCAAGGCAACGAUGCGUAGCCGACCUGAGAGGGUGAUCGGCCACACUGGAACUGAGACACGGUCCAGACUCCUACGGUAGGCAGCAGUAGGGAAUCUUCCGCGAUGGGCGAAAGCCUGACGGUGCAACGCCGCGUGAGUGAUGAAGGUCUUCGGAUCGUAAAACUCUGUUAUUAGGGAAGAACAAAUGUGUAUGUAACUAUGCACGUCUUGACGGUACCUGGUCAGAAAGCCACGGCUCCCUACGUG